GCGAGUCUUCGUAGUAAUACAAGGCAUACGGCUCAGUAACGCGUAGUCAACCUACCCUAUGGACGGGGAUAAUCUCGGGAAACUGAGCAUAAUACCCGGCAGACCACUUAUCCUGGAAUGGUUAGUGGUUAAAAUGAUUCGUCGCCAUAGGAUGGGACUGCGGCCUAUCAGCUUGUUGGUGAGGUAAUGGCCCACCAAGGCGAUUACAGGUACGGGCUCUGAGAGGAGAGGCCCGGAGAUGGGUACUGAGACAAGGACCCAGGCCCUAUGGGGCGCAGCAGGCGAGAAAACUUUGCAAUGUGCGAAAGCACGACAAGGUUAAUCCGAGUGAUUUCUGCUAAAGGAAUCUUUUGUUAGUUCUAAAAAUACUAGUGAAUAAGGGGUGGGCAAGUUCUGGUGUCAGCCGCCGCGGUAAAACCAGCACCUCAAGUGGUCAGGAGGAUUAUUGGGCCUAAAGCAUCCGUAGCCUGUUCUAUAAGUUUGCGGUUAAAUCUAUACGCUUAACGCAUAGGCUGCCGUAAAUACUGUAGAACUAGGGAGUGGGAGAGGUAGACGGUACUCGAUAGGAAGGGGUAAAAUCCUUUGAUCUAUUGACGACCACCUGUGGCGAAGGCGGUCUACCAGAACACGUUCGACGGUGA
rnacentral:rRNA from 1 species